GAAUUCAUCUUUAAAUCAAUUAAAUGGCAAGCUAUAUCUGCUGCUAGCGAAGAGCAACAUUUUGUCGAAACGCUUAAUUGUAUGAUCGACAAAAGCGAAAUGCGUUUAAACGUUAAAACGUUUAUUGAGAAUUAUUCCGCAAAGGACGAUGGUUCCUCUUUUAUAGAGAACAAUGUUUUCGAGGACGACGAUGCAUCGAUAAUCUCCGUGUCUUCGUACUCUUUUCAGUCUUUAAACUCUUUGUCCAUCUUUCAUAUUCCCCGAUUGGGAAAUGAAUCUUCUUUUUCAGAAUUGGACGAUUAUAUCGAGGAUGAACAACAUGCGUGACGUUGACGAAGCGUAGGUAAAGCCGUGACGUUAAUAAGUAAACGGAAAUCGAUGCUUGAUGGUUCUCCGUAGCCGUGAUACGAGUAAAAGAGAAUCACAUUAACGUUGCCUGUACGUUCAAACGUGAAAGAAGAAACUAAAGAGACGAUACCGACAAUUAUUUCGAUAAGAGCGACGAUUCGAACAGCUGAUGCAUAAUUUCAUCCAACAGCGAUUGCGUCGGUACGAGCAACAGCGACGAAAUGAACGCUAAUAUUUAUCCCAGCGAUCAUUCGAUCAAUCCUGCGAGUUCCUUCCUCUUGGAUACGGACGACAUUGGAUUCCCCAUGUCUAUGUCUGGAAACAAUUCGAGUGUCGUAUCGUCGGACGAUAAAUACUUCAACAAAUACAUAUUGUCAUUGGAGGAGUGAUCAAGUUGAAAAAAAGAAUUUUUCUUUAUUUUCAAAUAUUGUUGAAUAUUACGUUUCUUUUUUAAUCAUAUUA